AACGUAGGUGGCAAGCGUUAUCCGGAAUUACUGGGCGUAAAGCGCGUGUAGGCGGUCUCGCAAGUCGGGUGUGAAAGCCCAGGGCUCAACCCUGGAAGUGCAUUCGAUACUGCAAGGCUAGAGUCCCGGAGAGGAUGGUGGAACUCUCGGUGUAGAGGUGAAAUUCGUAGAUAUCGAGAAGAACACCGGUGGCGAAGGCGGCCAUCUGGACGGUGACUGACGCUGAGACGCGAAAGCGUGGGGAGCAAACAGG
rnacentral:rRNA from 1 species